GACGAACGCUGGCGGCGUGCUUAACACAUGCAAGUCGAACGGAAAGGCCCUGCUUUUGUGGGGUGCUCGAGUGGCGAACGGGUGAGUAACACGUGAGUAACCUGCCCUUGACUUUGGGAUAACUUCAGGAAACUGGGGCUAAUACCGGAUAGGAGCUCCUGCUGCAUGGUGGGGGUUGGAAAGUUUCGGCGGUUGGGGAUGGACUCGCGGCUUAUCAGCUUGUUGGUGGGGUAGUGGCUUACCAAGGCUUUGACGGGUAGCCGGCCUGAGAGGGUGACCGGCCACAUUGGGCCUGAGAUACGGCACAGACUCCUACGGGAGGCAGGAGUGGGGAAUAGUGCACAAUGGGCGGAAGCCUGAUGCAGCAACGCCGCGUGCGGGAUGACGGCCUUCGGGUUGUAAACCGCUUUCGCCUGUGACGAAGCGUGAGUGACGGUAAUGGGUAAAGAAGCACCGGCUAACUACGUG
rnacentral:rRNA from 1 species